GCGUACCAGGAACUAGGUCUCUGCGGGCUGCAUGGGGACUGAGGCGCGGCCAACCCCCGCCAGCUUAGCACAUGCACUCGCACACGUAGGCGGGAGCCGCGGGCGGUCCUGCGCCCCGCACACAGGCCGGCUGCGGCCGGGCGCUGAGCCCAGGCACGUACCGGGGCGGGGCCAGCCGCCCGGGCUAGGUUUCCAACCACAGCAGGUAGCACCGCGCCCUGAGCUUGGAGUACUGGGCUCUCCGCCGGUCAGAGAGGGUCAGGCUCUACUGCCCUCAACCUGCCUUUCUCUACGUUCCGGAAUGCAGCCAAGAACGAAUAAAGGAAAUUACAUAGUAAGCGGAGAUCGAGUGUCUGAGCAGCGCCUUGGAUAAAAUCCACUCAUGACAGCAUUGAGAAUAGAGGCGAUGACGAGAACAUCUACAGUUAAAGUACGUGGAGGAUACAAGCAGAGAGGACUUCUGUCCUGAUGCUACAAUGAAAGAGGCACAAAAUAACUGUUCAGCAUGAAUACGUAAGGCACGUCUACAGAUAAUCUUAGAAUACCAUAAUGGCUCCAGUCUUAAUGAGGGGGAUCAUGUUUUCUUGGUGGAAAUAAUAUGGGGAUGUCAUUCACAGGAUAGGAAAGAAGAAAGAGAAAUGAUGAAAAGUCCACUCAGCUUCAUGUCUGCAUCAAGGUCCUCCAGUUAGCAUAUUAAUGUUCAAUGUAUGAAAUGAGGCUGAGCACAAAGAUGAACGCAUAAAACACUGUCUUCAAGCAGUUUAUAAUUCAAUGGGAAACAGAUAAACAGUUUCAAUAUCCUGUGAUCACUACUACAAUGAAGAAAGGAUGUUUCACAGAAAGGCUAAUAAGCAAAACUUGGGAUCAGUAACAAUCAUGAGGGAGAUAAGAAAAAUAAUUUUACAUAAAGGCAAAAAUCACAAGAGAACUCUUUGUGAUUAGAAGUGGUAAGGCAUUAUUAAGUUUGAUCCUAGCACUAAAUAUCCCCCUGAAAGAAACAACAACAAAAACUACAAGUUUUAAGAUGCCCCCCUAAAUGGCCAAAGUGGGGUAACUUGGAUUUGGUGGCAUCUAUGAAAGUUGUGCUGGAAACUUCUGGUGCAGCCCUGCAAUCCCACAGAGUAGGUAAGCUAUGAACUCAAGGCUGGACUGGUUUACAGCGAGUUCCAGGCCAGUCAAGCCUACUCAGUGAGACAGGGUAAAGAGUAUGGAACGUAAGAAAAUGACUAACCACAGGAGAGCGCUCUGUCUGGCCAGCAGAUGAAAAUGUUUCGGUAAUGAAGAGGAAUUGACCUGAAAUAACUUAAGAGUUCAUAAACAAAGAAUAAAGUCCCAGGUCACAUUAUACAGCCUGUCACAAAGAUGGUCAUUUAACCUUCUUGGGAAACUGAACUAGGAAAAUUGAUCCAUAGACUGAUAAACGAAUGAUAUUAUUUUGUGGGAUCACUGGAACAGCUGGCUUGAGAAGAUGGGUCAGGAUAUAGCUCAUAAUGCAGUAGAAAAAGAUAAAAACAAAAGUUUUUAUUUAUUUUUCUUUUCAAGACAGGGUUUUUCUUUGUAGCCUUGGCUGUCCUGAAACUCACUCUAUUGGCCAGAUUGAUCUUGAAUUUAUGGAGAUCCACCUGCCUCUGCCUUCCAAGUGCUGCGAUUAAAAAUGUGUACUACCACUGCCUGCCAAUUUUCUAUCUUCUUAAUAAAGGCACAGUAAAUCCAAAGAGUUACCACUUUCUCUCACAAAAGUGUCUCUUUCCAAGCUUACCUUACAACAUAAUUCACACACACAAUGCACUGUGGCUGAGAGUUCUUCGUAUUAUAUAUAACAGUUGCUUGAGUCUCAACCCAGACAUAUCCACCUCUUUUUGCAAGCAUCCUGUACUGUCCUGUGGUGACUUGUCCUUUAGUAAACACUAGGGAUAAGAAAGUACCACAAAGAAAAUGUAACUGAAUUUUCCAUCAAAUAAGUGUCAAGUGUAGAUUGUUACAUUUUGUUUUAUUUAAAGACAGGAUUUCUCUGUGUAGCCCUGGCUGUCCUUAACUCCCUAUAUAGACUAGGCUGGCCUCGAAUUCACAGAGAACCACCUGCCUCUGUCUUUCCAGUGCAGGGGUUUUGGGGUAGGUAAGGGUAAUGGUAUGUGCUACCAUGAUUGGCUGGAUCACUGUUUUAUUUUUAAAAGGAGAGAUAUUUAAAUAAUAUCUUUUAUUAUUUAAAAUAGUGUGACUGUUUAAGCUCACAGAGAAGCCCAAACACAACUGAAAAUAAACCUCAAAGUAAAACUCCUACCUUACUGAAAAAGAAGAAAGUCAGAAGUGAGGGACAGAGUGGCUGCGGUUCCUUUAAUGAUGUAUGGUUACAGUCAGACUAGAGACUAGGCACAAGCUCAUUCAAGAAAAUGGUACAACUAUUUCCUCAAGCAGCAGAGAAGAAACUAUUCUACAGAAAUUUGAAUGUAUAAGCUGUUAUCAUACUGUAGUCUUCCAGCAAUUCGUGCAGUCUAAAUUGAUUCCUGACUGAGGAGAAUGCAGUAAAUCAGCCAUAAUAAUGCUAUCGUGAGUACCUAUGCUCUGACUACAGUUUGGGCAAAUCACACUAAUUCAGUGAUAUUCAAUCUGAAAGUUUUUUAGGUCCAGAUUAAACAGGCCAGUGAGAAAUUAUGAACUUUAACUUACUUUGGGAUCUUAGACUUCAUCUGAGAAAAACCCCAGAAACUUAGCAUAUGUCAAGAGUGUCAGAUAUUAAUUACAUGUGUGUAAUACUCAUUCCACUCACUGAUUCACGGAACACAUGCUCUGACUACCUUCUAUUGACCAGCCAUCGAUUUCACAAUAUGUGUAUGGAGAUAAUCUAUCAUAUUUGACUUUUAUUUAGUUCUGUUUUUAAAAUUCUAGGGAAGCUUUAUGUAUUAUUAAGUGAAUGGCUGUAACAAAACAGUAAUUUCAUGAUCAAGAUGUCUUAGGAAGAAUCUGGAGACUGGGUAGCAAUUUUAACUAGAAAGUUAGAGAUACAACAGUAGAGACUGCAGGGCUUAAAGCAGUGCGACUACCUCCUUGAGUUCUUCUAUUGUACUUACUGUCAUGAUGAGUUUUGGUCAGAUGAUCAGAGUCCAAAGCAUGAUAAUAUUCAUAAAUUGAACGGCCCAAAAGUUCUUCUGGCUCAUAACCCAUCAACUCAGUAAUCCUGUUACAAAACAAAACAAUAUUCUUCUUCACUUAAUAAGUUUGAAACGCACCUGUAACAAUUCUAUACUUAGUAUAAUAGCCAGCCUCUCUGUGUCAUUUAGAUCCAUCCUUGAUAUUUGACUCUUAUCCCUUUUACCCGAAAUAAUGACCUGUCUUAAAAAAACUUAUUAUACAUACUAUAGUUGUGGAAGCAAGAUAUUAAUAAAUACUGAUAAUGCAAAUUAAAUGACAAAAGUUCCAAAGACAGUUCACAAUUAGCUUCAAAUAAAGUUUAAAUCUCAAGCAGUAUUUUUCAUAGAGCUAACCUGUUUACCUUACACUUUUUAGGCCCACUGGCAAGGCCUCACUUUAAAAGCUCCAUUAUUGGGGCUGGGGAUUUAGCUCAGUGGUAGAGCGCUUACCUAGGAAGCGCAAGGCCCUGGGUUCGGUCCCCAGCUCCGAAAAAAAGAACCAAAAAAAAAAAAAAAAAGCUCCAUUAUUAUUAAGCCAAGGACAUUCAUACUAAAUGGAAAUUAAAGGAACAACCAUUGUUAUGCUUUAGAGGAUAAGUCUUUUACUUGGCUUUAAUAUUAAUUUUAUGAGAAUCAAUUUCAGAUGAAAGAAUGGCAUCUAAUUGAGUAUGGUCUGAAAACCAAUUCCAGUAGCCUGUCUGGUCCCUGGCAGUUCUUUUAGGGAGGGAAACUCGAGCUGAUACCACAUGAGCCUUCAGGAAGCCAUGAAGACACACUUUAUGAGAAAGGCAAGGCUGUACUCCAUAUACUACGCCAACUACAAACGUUUUCCUCUAAAAUCUUUCUGGGAACAAACAUGAAGCAAGUGUUAGACUGCUAGGCUUAGACUUCAAGGGACUUUUUUUUUUAAACUGAGGUGCUGAUAAAGAUAUCAUAGAAUGGGCAUAAGCAAGGUAUGCUCACAAGAGUAUAUUAAAUAACAUAGCUUGUGCUGUCCCAGUUUAAGAUCUGCCAACAAGGGGUUGGGGAUUUAGCUCAGUGGUAGAGCGCUUGCCUAGGAAGCGCAAGGCCCUGGGUUCGGUCCCCAGCUCCAAAAAAAAAAAAAAAAAGAUCUGCCAACAAAACAGAUUUUUAAAAAUUUUAAAAACAUGAAUCAAACUCGUACUUCUUCACAAAGGGACACACCAAAACACAUCAACACUAGAUGGCAGUGCUACAAAUAAAAAUAAACUGCUUUAAAAAUACUUGUUUUCCCCUCCAUUCAAGAAUGGCAGUAGGGACAGAAUCUAGGAACUCACAAAUGCUAGACAAAAGCCACCUCCACCCCCAUCCUCUUUGUGCUGGUAGUGAGUGAUAGAGCUGGGGCCUUGUGCAUGCUAGGCUUUCUGGUUAAUUUUUUUUUUCUAGAAACCUCUUGCAUCAACUCCUCAGAAUGAAGAUAUGGAAAAAAACUGCCCAAUUAUGAAAAUCUUUCAGUCAUUUCUAUUAUCUAGGGCCACCAAAAUGGGCCAGCAGGUAAAGGUACCUGCUGCCAAACAUGACAGCAUGGGUUCAGUCUCUAUGACCCAUGUGGUGGAAGGAGAGAACCAACUCUCACUGUCCUCUGCCCUCUACCUUUGGGCUAUGGCACACGAGCCCAUGCAUAAACAGUCACACACUCCACCACUGAGUGCGUGACUGCAUCCGGCCCUAAAAAUCUGUUCGGAUUGCUCUUAUAUAGUUUUAUAUGUUUAAAUGAAACGCCUAUAAAAUGAACUAUUUCUCACUAAGCACGUUUCUAGCACUCCUGUAGAUAUGGAAACGCAACCUUCUGGUGUACUUGCCACUACUUAUGCAAGAGACAGGUAAACAGUGCUAGGUGCAUGUUCUAGGAAUCAGGGGAACUACAUUCCUUAUCCAAGAGAGGAAUGAUAAGGUGAGAGACUGAUUCUUACAGGGUAUGUACACAUUCAGUGUGGAAGAGUGGAGAAAAGAAGUUUACAAAAACCAGGAAGUUUGCAUUUCAGGAAGAAGUUACAACACAAAAAUAAAUGCAUAGAAUAGGUGGUAGAGUCUGAUGUGGCUAUAGUAUAGGCAAUGGAGGCAAAGAAUUCAGGAGAUGCAGGCAAGAGGAUCGGAUAAAUGAAGAUUAUGCAUAGAGUCUUAGGACGUCUUGACUUAACCACACAUCAACCAGUGUUUCUCAAUUUAAGGAAUGUUUACUAUUAAAGGACACUGAGAACUCAAAAUGGAAAUACCAGACAGUUUCCUGGUAGACUGACUUCAUGUAUUUUGGGGGAAGCAAGAGAAAACAGACCAAAGAGAACUACACUGUAAUUCAGUACCAAAAGAAGGCAAGAGACCCAGAAAAUAGUUUCCGUGCUAGGUAUUGAUCCUCAGGCCUUGUAAACACUCUGUAAGCACUGUACCAAUCACUUCUCCAAUUCUUACUAAGUUGUUCUUAGUGUGUUCUAAAGCAACUGUGUAGUAUGGCAUUUGUCCACAUCUUGCAUCUUAAGGGGAGGAAUCAUCAUUUCCAUGAACACAGUAAAUAUUUAAAUAUAUGUGCCAAAUGAUUAUACCUGUACUUUACUAAGUGAAAUAAACAGCUAUUUGCGGAUAGUCUUGAUAUUAGAAGUUUAAACGUCAUUGUGUUUUCUUUAUUUGCUUUGUAUGAGUGCAUGUGUGUGGGUUCAUAUCACAGCAAGAAGGUAGAGGGCACAGGACAGAGUGUAGGAGUUGGAUCUCUUCUUCAACCACAUGGGUCCCAGAAGUUGAACUCAUGCUGUCAGGUUUGGGAUCAGGUGCCUUUACCUGCUGGCCCUUGGUGGACCAGGAUGUUAGAAAUAUGAUGUAAGAUAUUCUUAAAAUUGAGCAAUUUUCUUCCAUGCUGAGAAUGACUCUGUUGGGCUAUAUAGAAGCAAGAAGCUCCUAGAAUACAUAUUUAACCAGAAAACAAGAGUCUCUGGUGUGAGUGAGUUAUCUUCAGGCUGGCUGUCCUUUAACUGAUGUCAUGAUCAUUGUAUGCAUUUCUGAUAGAACCAGAGGGGAAUGCCACAACCUUUCUCAUUUUGACUCCUUUGCUUUCCUUUCUCUCCAGCCUGCCCUAGUCUAUUCUACAGACGUUUAAAAAUAGAUGAGCCUUUCAUUUCCACUACACCUUUACAUUCUGGCAAUAAACAACAUAAUAUAGUUCUUAGUUUUUCUCCCUUCCUGGUAUUAAAAUUGACACCAGUAUUAAGUAUACUGGACCUAAAACAAACUCCUAAAGGCCUCACAACAGACUUUUGAGGUCUGACCCUUCUAGGUAAAGAUUGCCAGUUUUACAUCAACUAAGUACCAGAAAGAAAUCCAAUAUUGUGCGACUUUAGUCAGGGCUCUGUCAAUAUUUCUUUGUCUAAAGCAUGAAGAAUUAUCAAAAUGCUAAGAACUUAAAAUUGGUGUUUUGAUAAAAUCAUUACAUCAACUACCUCAAACGGGACGGGAGGUAAGAAAGUUAAUGUGCUUUCUGGUUGUAGUGGCAUAUGUCUGUAAUCCACAGGGAUAGAGGCAGGUGAUUUCUGUGAGCUGGAGACUAGCCUGGUCUACAGGGAAAGUUUCAGAAUAUCCAGGGCUGUGUACUCUUUCUCAAAAAACAAAACAAAACAAAACAAAACAAAACACCCUAAGCAGCUAACCAACUAAACAAACAGAGAAGUGAUCUGUGAGAGGACUGAUGUAUGUGUUCACUGUUCUCUAGGGAGCAGGGUCAGAACUUCAGUUGGCUACACAAUCUCUGUCUAUAACUAACAGGCUAUACAGCUUGCAGCAAAAAAGAACCAACAAGACAGCAGCAGAAUACACACUACGACAUUAGCAUGUACAAGGAAUACUGCCUAAGAAGAUGCUCUUAGGCAUCCUCUUAAGAGUGAGUGUAUGCAAAGGCACAAGACAUUCAAAACGAACAUGGAACUCUUGGUUAGGAGUGUUUGGGACCAUAUCCAGAUGGGUGAUUCUCCUACCUCCUGAUUAAUUUGGUGAACUGAGAAGAGACUAGACAGUAAAUACCUUUCCUCGACAUUUUAAUACAUUAAGAUUUAACUGCACAUGACAGGCAGGCGUUCAUAUAUAGUCCAGGUCAGCUUUCUUGUCUUAUCUUCCCAAGUGUUAAGAUCACAGACAUACAAUACCACACCCAGAAUAUACUAUCUUUUGAUAAAUAAAAAAUCUCCUUCCACCUAUAAUACUACAAGAAGCAACGGAUGCAUUUCUAAUAAGAGAAUGGCAUGAUCUGAUCCUCACCUUGGGAAGCCUUUAGAUACAAAGGAUAUACAGGUAAAAAGGCACAAAUCUGUUGGCAGAAAUGCAGCUUAAGAGUUUAUGGUUGGGGCUGGGGAUUUAGCUCAGUGGUAGAGCGCUUACCUAGGAAGCGCAAGGCCCUGGGUUCGGUCCCCAGCUCCGAAAAAAAGAACCAAAAAAAAAAAAAAAAAAAAAGAGUUUAUGGUAACAAUUCAGGCCAAAAGUAAUGAAAUAAAGAAGGAGCACAAGGUAGAUACAAUGGGAGAGACAGUCAAACAGUGCAUUUAUAAUAUUUACCACAAACUGCACUUAGUCAGGUUUCAACAAUGCUAUGUCAACAACAUUAGGAAUCACCAGAGGAGCAGCAACUUACGCUGUCUGGGAGCAGGAGAGUAGUUUAGUAGCAGAAGUAUUCAUUCCAUUACUUAGAAAAGGAUGUGGACGGAAACAUUAAGCUGGCAAUUACAUAAGUAGUAACAGACUUGGGAAAUGGUAACUAACGGGUGGAAUGGAAGGUGCUCAAGGAGAGCAUGUAGGCUAAAGGCCAACUGUUGUUGCCUACUCUACAGAAACUGUGUAUCUUUAAAAGUUACUUUCUCAAUUUAAGCAAAAUUCCCUAAAACAAAAGAACUUCCUGGUUUUUGUGUUCACUGUUUGCACAGUACCAAGGCAAGAAGUCAGUGCCUUUUGCACAUUGGACAAGUGGUCCACCUGACUUACAUCCCUAGCCUUUAAAAUGCUCUUUUGAGACAGCUGACUUGGAAAUUACCUUCCUCCUGUCUCAGUCUCCCCAUAGCGACAUUACAGAAGUAUACCACCAGAUGUGGUCAAGAAUUCAUCUUAAUGGAUUUUGUAUAAUAGCUAAGUAUAGUAUUUAUAGUAAAAAAGCUAAUCUUACAUUUUUGGAUUCUAGUAUGCAUCUUCAAUAUUAAGCUUUAUGAACACAUCAAUUAAGUUUUUACUACAGUGAGGUAAAAAAAAUUAAAUCUAAAUUUUAAAAAUAUAAAAUAGUUAAUUUACCUUUCAUCACAGUAAGAAAAUUUCAUAUCGAGGCUGUGUCGACUGAGAAAUGUCUUGCUGUCUAAAGGAAUUUCAAUGUUUGAUGGAUGAGGAAUGGGUUCACAAAUCAGCACCAAGCACGUCAUAGGCGGUUUCUUGUAGCCACACUGCGGCUGGUUACUGCUGGUAUCAUACACAUGAAUGUGGCCUGUGCAGUGCAGCACCUGUGAGUAAGAAAAUAAGCAGUUACCUUUUUAAAAUGAAGAGGAGAGGAAAGCUGCAGAGAUGGCAUAGCAGUUAAACAUUAAGAGAUAAUGAGGUAUUCUUAAGAAGGCACUGUGAGGUAGGAUGCUAGAUGAGCCAGAGGUUUGAAUGCUGACUGUUUUUCCAGAGGACCAAGAUUUGAUUCCUAGCACUCGCAUGGCAGCUUACAAGCAUCCUAUUUCCAGAGGAUCCGACACCUUCUUCUCAUCUCUUAAGGCACCAGGCAUGCAUGCACUGAUAUAUACAUGGAGGCAAAACAUCCAUGCACAUAAAAUAGAAACUAGGGAUCACUUAUAAUCCAGAAUAUGGAUCUAAUGCCCUCUUUUGGCCUCUGCAAACACAUACACUUACAUAUAUCCAAUUAAAACACUAAAAUACACACAGACAAACAUACAUACACACACAUGUUGUUUUUAAAAAGAGGUAUCUUUGUAUUAAGUCUAGGCUAUCUUUCCUUCUUCACUAAUCUGGUCAUUUCAGUUGAUUUUGCUCUGGUAACUAUGGUUCAACACUGAACAAGAAAAUGAAACUGAAUAUUAGAAUUUAAAUACUAGUUGGUAAAGCCAACUAAUAAGUUAGCUUGGUAUAGAAAUACCGUAUUUCCAAUAAUCUAUGUUUAUAUCUCAAAUCAGCAAAUUAUUAUACUAUUUUGAAUGGAGAUUACAUAUACUAGAUAUAAAUGCAAACAUGCAAAAGGGAACAAUUAUACCUUUUCCUUCACAACUUCUAUCUGUAUGUAUGUGUGCACGCUGUGUGUGUACCUGGUGCCUGAAGAGGUCAGAAGAGGAUACUACAUGUUCUGGAAUUGGAGUUAGAGAUGACUAUGAGCUGACACAGGUUCUUGGGACCAAGGCCAGGUGCUUGGCAAACAAGUGCUCUUAAUUACUAAGCCCUUUCUCCAUUCCCCUCAUAACUCUAAGCAACUCAUUUGGAGGGGUUAUGUUUAUUUGUUUUGCUUUCUGAGUGGGGCUCGCUGUGUUCCCCUGGCUGGCCUGGAACUUGCUGUGUAGAUAAGGCUGCCUUCAAAUUUGUAGCAGCUGUUUUUCUGCUUCCCAAGUGCGAGGGCCAGCUAACUUUCAGCACUCCUGGUGAAAGCUCUUGAUACUAGCAUGUAAGUGUAUAGGUUUAUUUAUCUAUAAAUCAAGCCAUACUCAGUUUACUUACCUUCCACGUUGCUGACUUGAUGUUCAUCGUCCUCCCCCGGCUUGUUAGGGUACAUUUCAUUCUGAGAAAAAAGCUUCGCUGCGUGUUUUGUUCUUUCCCCUUUCUCACUGGGCCUAAUGAAAGCAAGAAACAAAGUUUUUUUCUUUUUCUUUUUUUUUUUUUUGGAGCUGGGGAACAAACCCAGGGCCUUGCGCUUGCUAGGCAAGUGCUCUACCACUGAGCUAAAUCCCCAACCCCAAGAAACAAAGUUUUAAGUCCUAGCUAAACAUAGAAAUCUGUUAAAAUGAGAGCAGCAAAGUGAGGACCUCAGCAUUAACACAAGGAUUUGCUCCCUCUUCACCCACUCCCACACAUGGUGGGUCUGACAGCUCCAUCCAGUGAGAGCAGUUAAAGACUGCAGUGAUUCCCUGAACUGUGGGAGGAGCCCACACUUUACAUGAUUAAUUUACUCAUCUGUGCUGGUGAGUUCGGUCCAAGUAAUGAAAAUUAAAAAAUGGUAUAAAUUUACCCUGUUAAGUGUGCUGUCGGUAUAUAAGGAUGUCCCCCUAGAAAGAACCUGAAUAAAUACUUCAAUGUCUUUUACCAAUUGUGAUAACUCAAUUUUGAAUAAGCAGCAAUGUGUUUAUAGAACUUUAAAAAUGCCAGCUUACCUUUUGUAAGUGAAUAGCAUAUGUGUGUAUGAAAACCAGGCAAAAUUCUAUCAGAAGUUACAGAAAUCAGCCAUAAUGGUCCAUGUCAGCACUCUCAGCACUAGGGAGGCUGAAGGAGGAGGAUGGAAAAUUCUAGGCCAACUUGAGCUACAUGAGACCUUGUUUACGAUUUAAGAUUACAAAAUUAGGGGCUGGGAAUGUAGUUUAAUGGACAAGUACUUCCUUAGUACAUACAUGUGGGUCUAGGUUUGAUCCCCAGAACCACAAAAAGAAAAAGUCACAGAAAUAAAGCAGAGAAAAAUCAACUCAAGUCUAAUUUAGUCUUAAUGCCAAUCCUCAUAACUAAAAAAUUAAAUUACAUUUAGAUGGCUCUGAAACAGCAUCUAGAUUUCCUAUUUUUAUUGCUUAGUCUGGUUCAAAACAAAUGCUUCACUUAUUUGAAAUGUCCAGAGAAGAGGACUGAAGGUUGCUCAGGACUGAAUUUAUGGAGAUUGUUCAUCAGAUGAUAGAUGGAUGAAAGCUAAAGAUACAGAACUUCUUUUUUGAGAGACAAUGAGUGCAAUGGUACAUGCCUUUAAUCCCACCAUUUGGGAGGCAGAGGUAGGUAGCCCUCUAUGAGUUCAAGAACAACUUGGUCUACUUGGAGUCCUAGGCCAGGCAAGGCUACAUAGUGAAACCCUUCCUCAAAAGAAACACACACAAUAAAACAAUACAGUUUUAAAAAUAAAGUCUAUGAAUAUACUAGAGAAAUUAUUGAAAUUUAUCAAUUGGUUACAUUUUAAGAUAUAUAAAAUGGAAGUAUUAGGAAAACAAAACAAAACACAAAAUAUCCAUUGUUCAGGAUCGAGUGUGUAUACCGUGAGUGAAGCAGAGACCGAUAAUUAGAUGCAAUGCCUUUAAGCAGGUAAUAGUUACAUCCAGUAGGGCCAAUAGCAAUGUAAUACAAAGUAGUUAAGGCUUAAUAAGAAUGUUUUCAGAGAGCAGAGACAGAGGGAAUUAAGAAAAAAAGACCAGUAUACUCUGUUUAAGAAUUCGUAUUAAAAACAAACUGUUAAAAGUCUCUGUAAUUCAACAAGGAUUUCAAGAGUUACAGAAUUCUCAUAACUUUUUUAAAAAAAUUAUUUAUGUGCAUUGGUAUUUUGCUUGCAUGUCUAUGGGAGUGUGUCAGAUCUUGGAAUGUCAGGCAAUUGUGAGCUACCAUGAGGAUGUGGAUUUGAAGUGGGGUCCCGGCAGGAGAACAGUCAGUACACCUAACCACUAAGUCACCUCUCCAGUCCCUCUCACUUCUCUGCUUGGCUGACUUGAAACUAGUUAACAUAAACCAAGAUGGCCUAGAAAUCAAGAGAUCUGCUUAUACUGCCUCCUAAGUGCAAGGAUUAAAGGUGUGUACAACCACAUGUGCUCCAAGACAACAUAACACUUCCAACUAUAGUCCCAAGUUACUGAAACAUCCGUAGAAGUCAAAGUGCCUUUGUGCUCUUAAAAUCCUGGCCAUGCCCCCACCUUACCUCUUUGGGGCAUUAAAACAGCCUGAACCCAAACUGUCACUAUGUAUCCAUAAUCAUCUAAAAUCUUAUUACCUGUCAUUUGUAUUAUAACUUGCUUUAAUAUUGCAUUUUUACUUCUAAUUGUCUUGGUCUUUAUAAAUUAUCGUUCCAUUUUGUCUACUCAAGUAUGUAAUUAACUUAUUAAUUCAUGUAAUUACUUAUGAAGUCAAUGAGUUUUUAAAACUUUUGUGAAUUUUCUAAAAUGUAGAAUAACAGUUUUUUUUUUUUUUAAAGAUUUAUUUAUUUAUUAUACAUAAAUACACUGUAGCUGUCUUCAGACACCAGAAGAGGGCAUCAGAUCCCAUUACAGAUGGUUGGGAGCCACCAUGUGGUUGCUGGGAAUUGAACUCAGGACCUCUGGAAGAGCAGUCAGUGCUCUUAACCACUGAGCCAUGUCUCCAGCCCCAGAAUAACAGUUUUAACAACAAACAGAAUUUACAUUAAAUGUGAAAUAACAUUUUCUCUUAAAAUCAUUACUAAAAAAAUAAAAGUAGUAACAAUAUCUGACUGAAAAAAAAUGACCUGUCAUAUUAAAUCAAACAAUAGACUUUUCUCACCAUUUCUGUGUGUAAGCAUUUCUCUCAUUUCCUCAUGGUCACAUGGAUGGGUAAAAUCAAACACACUGUGUCCAGUUAGUUCAAACUGCAAACACAUUAAAAAAAUUAGAUCUAUAUCACAUAAUCAUAAAGUACCCAUAAGUGCUCUUCAUAUGUGGUGACUUUACCUGAGUCAACCCCAUGUAUUUGUUCACGUUAUCAGAAAUGUAAAUCAUGUCACCAUCAUCUGUUAGCACCAUAACAAAGCCAUCCAGGGCUUUCAGAUAAAAGCAGUUCAUCUGUGCUUUCAUUUCAUCUUCAAUGUCAAGAUCACCUGUAAGGGCACAUGUGGGAAGAAACAAAAUAAGGUUUUCUCUCAGAUACUUUUAAAUAUCUAUAGUACAUAUAUUUAUUUCUAUAUAUUUUCUAGUUAUUUUACAUAAUUGUUUAAAGUAAACAAAUUUGCAAACAAGCAGAUCACCAAGGGAGUAAAAAAGGAUAUUUUUAAAAGAUAGGCUAUGCCUUUAUACCCAGUCCUAAAAAGGAAGAGGAGGAUUGGUCCCUGUGAGUUCAAGGCACCCUAGAUACAGAUCAGCCAGGGCUACAUGGUGAGACCCUGUUGACAGAAAGGGGGAGGGAAGGAGAGAGGGAAGGAGGGAGGGGGAGGAGGAAGAGGAGGAGGAAGAAGAGGAGGAGAGAGACAGACACAGAGGAGUAGAGAGGAGGGAAUGAAUGGAAUGAGGCUUUAAAAGCAAGUAAGAAAAAAAUGCUGUCAUGUGGAAGAAUCAAGAAUAUAUUCUACAGAACAUAACAAUGACGACUUUACUAGGUUAUAAUAUCUAUUCACUGAACAUGCUAUAAAGUACAAGGGGCUAUAGAGUUAAUGGAUUUUUACUUAUGUGUUUAAAAAUAAAGGGUAAACCAAAACAACUUACAAUUACAAAAAGGAUUAUUCCCACCACUAAGCAAAGCCAAGCCUGAUAAAGGAGUAAAGACCACUGAAAGACAUAAUUAGGUACUUUAAAACAGCAUUGUGUGGGGGUCAUGCUGGAGGCAUGGCUCAGCAGUUAAGAGCACUGGCUGAUCUUUCAGAGGACCUGGGUUCAAUUCCCGGCACUCACAACUGUCUGUAACUUCAGUUACAAAAAAUCCUCUUCUGGCUUCUGCAAGCACUAGGUAUGCAAGUACUGAAGGCAAAAAUGCUCACACACAUGCAAUAACAGCUGAAUUCAUGUGUUUGAAAAGGGCAGCAUUAUGGGGCCAGAGAGACAGCUCCACACUUAGGAAUGCUUACUGUUUAAUUGACAGGACAACAUUUGGACACCAGCACCACAUUAGGUUGCUCAUCAAUACCUGUGACUCUAGCUUUAAAGGACCUGAUACCCUCUUUGGCCUCCAUAGGCCCCUUCAUAAAGGCAUAUCAAUAUGCGCACAGGGCACGGGGAUGCAUUCUCCUCUGUCCCUCUCCCUCUCCCUCUCCCUCUCCCUCUCCGGGAAGUACUGUAGCCUCCUGCUAAAAGGAACUUCUAGAUGUUCAUAAUUUCUAAUUUUCAGGUCUCUUACGCUUUAGCAGAACUCACCAGCAUCUAGAAGUUUCCUCACACGUAAGUAACUGAUGGUGAGCCUCAUAACAGAAGCUUUAUCAAGAUGGGAGCUCACGUUGUGGGGAAGUGGCAACUGAUGAGCAAGCUCAUAAAAAACUUCAGACUCUUUGCUUCGCCGAGAUCGUGCUGCAUCCCUAGACUUUUCUUUUCGACGUUCGGAACUCAUCCUACUUAAUGAGGGGGGGGGGAGGGAAAGGGAGAGAGAGGAAGAGAGAGGAAUAUAAUUUAUAUAUUAGUUUGUCUUAAAUAAAACUAAUUUUGCAUUUUUCUGUUUACUGUAUAAAUAAGGAUUAGAAGAAGUCAUGUAAAAUUAUUAUAUAGGACUUGUAUGGAACAUGAACAAAAUACUAUAUCAGAUAGCUUUUAUAUACAAAUUUCAGAUUAUUGAAAACAUAAUAAAUUCCUUUAAAAUGUCUAAGCCUUUAACAUUUCCAAAGUAGAUGUUUUCACCCCCAAAUUUACAGUAGCUUAUGUAUCUAAUACCUCACAAUCAUUCCAAAGUAUCUCAGUAUAGAAAAGCCCUAAAUAAAUUUGAAGAAACUAAAGUGUAUGAUAUAACAGUUUGAGAAGAGGUAAUAAAUUUACGGGCAGGUUAAGACACUGGUAGCUAUGCAUGAUUUGAUUAGUUUCUUUUGACAUCAAUACCUUCCCCACCUACUCUCUUACAUUAGCAGCUAUAGCAAGCUACCACUUUCAGUUUGCCUACCUCCUCAGACACUGCCUAUCUAGUGCUGGCAUAAUGGACACCAAAUAAAUGCAAGAAAAGCAAAGAUGAGCCACAGUGCUGACCCAUCGGUGGGCUAGUAGGGGUAAGGAAGUACCAAUAUAAUGAUAAACAUUGAGAAUUCUUUCCAAACAGUCAGAUGAGUUUAUGUCAUAUCAAGUAAAGCUGUCUUCCUUUGCUAACCCUUCUAGCAACAGGCUCUUCUUACUUUGAAUUGAAUAUAAGGCUAAGCCUGGCUGUUCUUAGCUGCUUCUCUAAGCCUGCCAUUACCAAAUAUUACUCUGUACCAGGUGCUUAGUUCUUUCAUAACAACCCAUAAGUAUAUUAAACAGGGCCCUCAUUUUAUGAAAAGAAGCUGGGGUUCCACAGAUUAAAAACAGCAACUGUGUGGCAAAUAGGAUAGGAACAUCAGUGUUUAAGUCUUUCCUUUUCCACAGUCUUCGCUAUUAAUGGAGAAUGCUGCCUCUAUUUCACUCCUGCUCCAAUCUUACUAGGUCAGGUAUUUGCUAAAUGUUGAAAACAGCACUUAGAAUUCAUUAAACAUUAACAAUACAACAGGGACUUCUUUCAUUCAGUUCUUCUUGUACUUUAUGAACAAAGCACAUAAUCGUCUCUUCUUUAAGUCUCCUUCUUUUCAAUAUAAGGCUGAAAAAGCUACAAGCAGAGAAACAAUUUUCUUAAGUAACUGUCAAGAAUUCUCAGCAACUCUCUUGUUAAACAGUUUUCAAAGUUUAAUAAGGAAUAUGUAUAUUUGUUAGAUACUAAGCUGUGAUAAAAAAAUUUCAACUCAAACAUUUAGUGGGUGUGUCCAAUUUUUUGACAUUGGGAUACAGCAGUCAUUAACUGUGCAAUUGAGUUACAAAAUGUUUCAACAAACCUCAAUGUUUUGUGUGAGUACAACUACUUGUGCUAGCCACAUUUGUACAUAUUGUGGGGCACAUGUGGUGUGUAGGUCACUGGUUGGAUACACCUCGUUGUAGAGCAAUUUGACUCAAGAAUCUUAAGAUUUUAAGUAGGGCUAUUAAGAAGCUUGUCACAAACAGGGGGUUAGGUCUGAUACACUGCAUACAGGUACAAAUUCUAAAGAAAAGAAAAAUCACUUGGAGCUACUUAUAUAAAUGAAUCACUAUAUUCUAUAAUAAAAAUAUUGAGGCCAUAUGAGACUGCCAUAAAUCAACAGUUUGAAAAAUUUUUAAGUACAUUAAAACUGCCUUGUUUUUCUCACUAUUGAUAAUUUGAACUUUGUAGUGAAAUAGUUUCAAAACUCAUUUCAAUUUAUAAUACUCUGGAAGAGAGGUAAGAGAGAUAGCAGAGAUCUACUGGGUUACAAUGGACACUAACAAAUGUUGUGUACACACACACACACACACACACACACACACACACACACACACGCACGCACUGACAGGGUUUCACUUGUAUACCUCUGGCUGGCUUGGAACUUGCAAUGUAGUCCAGGCUUGCCUCCAAUUCACAGAGAUCCAUCUGCCUGUUCCCAAAGUCUGGGAUUAAAAACAUGAACCGUCACACCAGGCACAUUUUUCUUCUUUUAAAUUUGUGUGCAGUGGUGGCUGUGGGAAGCAGCACAUUACUUGAAUGAUCAGCGAUCAGCCUGGAUUUUAAAUCAGGCUAGGUGCAGAGAAUCAUAUAAGCAAGUUGAAACACUUAGCUAUUCUCCCUCACAACUUAACAAAUCUAAACCACCGAAAAACAGCCACUCAAACGAAAUACCUGACAGAAAAUUUUUGAAAAAAGUUUUAAGGAUUUUAGAACCUGAACUGCCUACUUAACUACUCCCAGGAAGGCUCUGUAUCAGUCAGUCAUUUACCACCGAACUUUAGGAUUCACAAAGAAUUUUUUUUAAUCAGACCCAGAAGUCUAGGUUCCAGAGACAGAUCCUGUACUACCUCUUACCUUAGCUUGCAAUCAUGAGCUGUGCAGAUUUGCAGCAUGCAAAGUACUAUAUCUCUGCAAAUUACCAACUCCAUCCAUGUUGUUGUAAGGUACAGAUCAAGUGAAAUUCUGCUUCUUCUAUGUCUAUUUGAGGUGGUUUUUCAGCCAAGUAUAUAAAGUCUUGUCUUUUGAAUAAAUUGUUUACCAAUUUCUACAACUAUUCUAGAUAAAACAGAAACUAAUAAAAUAGCUAAAUCUUUUUAGCACUGUGGUUUCUGUUUAAAAAAUUAUCAGGCACUACACAUAAAACUAAAAAAAAAUCUUUAAUUUUUACAGAACUCCAGAAAGUAUUUUAAACCAUUGCCUUAUUAAGUUUACAUACAAAGUUUGGAAUAAAUAUGUUGUUUUACAAAGAAACCCCAAUAUUCUUUAGGUUAAGAAGACAAAAUAAGUACAGAUGGGUUAGGACAUCUAUUUGUGUCAUCUAUUUAAUUACACCAAAAAACUGUUAACUUUCUGAUUAUAAAAAGAUGUGGCUUUACCAGCUGAAAUUAGGGGCUCACCCUGCUAGUGUGCUUGCUGUUCUUGCAGGUAACCAGAGUUCUGUUCCCAGCACCCGCAGCAGACAAAUCAUAGCUGCCUGUAACUCUAGCUGCACAGGAGUCCAACACUCUCUUCUAGCUGCCACAGGUGCUUGCACAUAUGAACACACAUGUAUGUGCAUAUAUACAUAAACACAAUAACGUCUUUUUUAAAAGGAAUUAAAAUUAUGAAGACUGAGGCAGGAAAGAGCAAGUUUGCUGUUAGCCUGAGUUGCAGAGCAAGAAGAUGUCUCAAAACAAACAAAUAAACAAACAACAAAAAGCCCUAAAGUUAAAUCAUAACAUUAAAAAUAUUGGCAGAUGAUUAGACUUAUUCCUAAAAUAGUUCAUGUAUAAAAUGUUUAAGUUAUCCCUGAACUCUAUUAUUUGACAAAAAAACAAAAAAAUCUCUGUAGCUUUGAAAAAUAAGUUGUUCUUUCCGGUUUUGUUUUGUUUUAAAAUUGUGUUUGUAUUUCUACAGGACAGACAUUCUGAAGCAAAUGUUCAAGAUAAUGACUACUUAAGUUUUUGAAUCAGUAGGAGCUUUCCUGAAAAGUCUGCACCCAUUUUGUCUCUGCCAAUCAAUGAAUACAUCUAUGUAUAUACACACUUUCCUAUGUUCUGUGCAGUAUUAUACAUUACGAUUAAAGAAAAACCUUAAUAGUUUUGACCAAACUGAUGAAUGAGAACUAUGCCUCUUGCUUCAAUCUCAUAAACCUUGUAUUUAUUUAUGUGUGCACCUGUCUGUCUUGCAUGCAUGAAGAAAGGUCUGAAAAGGGUCUGGAAACCCUUGGAGCUACAGUUAUGGAUCUUGUGAAAUGCCUGCCUUGCUAUGUUGGUGUUGGAACCUGAACUCCAGCCUCAAGACUGCAGAAGUUUUCUACUACUAAGUCAAAAGUCUCUGUGUCUGAAGAAAAUGUCAAGGAACUUUCAUGAUUCCUCCUUUUUAGCAUGCUUGUAUGUACUUAUGGUGCUUAUUACUUAGGUAAUAAGUAUUCUUUUCCUAAUAUUCUAAAUAUUUUUCAAUUAUUAACUUAUUUAAUCUUUACUAUCAUCAUGUUAUACUUGCACUGCAUUUACACACACACACACACACACACACACACACACACACACACACACACACACGGAGUUUACAAAGUUAAUAAAUGGUCAGACCUGUAUUCCAGUUUAAACAGUUUUACUGAUUGAGAAUCCACUAUUAACAAUCAUCAAGACAAAUACUCCUAAUUCUAGGCUAUUAUUACAAAGUUUAAACACUGUUGAUUGCAAAAACCCAAUGCUUAAAGAAGUUAUACAGGUUAGCUUCUUUGAAUACAGGACUAAAAGCUGAGCUACUCAGAGGGAUUCAUUACCAGACUGAUAAACCUAAAAACCUUAUUGAAAAGCACCUACUCUGAUGGCAAUGAACUGCUUACCACUGAUCAGUAACUCUUCAAAGCAAGACAACUUUUUAAAUGAAAAGUGAAUCAAGCUGAUGAUUCAGUCUACCCUCUGUCCUCCCACACACUGAUAUCUGCAGAGCAGCUAAAUGAACAUCUUAUUUCAGUAAGAUUUGUUUAUUUGCUCAGUAUCAGUCUGCUAUAGCAUCUUCCUUAUUUCGUUUGCACUCAUUCUUACUUCUUUAUAAGUCAAAACUAAAGAAUAAAGGUUGAAGCUUUGUUUUUAAAUACAAAGCAGCUCUCAAAAGAAGUGGUUUUUAAGUAAGGGGUCUGCUGUUUUAACACUGCAAGAUAUCCCAACUAAGAUUUUUAACUUUCAUAGAAAAACAAAAAGAGAGUUUACCAAGUUUUUGGUUUGUAUUUCACAGCACGUUUGAGGAGAUUAAAAAAAUACCACUGGGCCCAGAAAGCUAGCUCAGUGGUUGAGAGACAGCAUUGCUCUUGCAGAGGCCGUGACUUUGGUUACCAGUACCCAUGUCAGGCAGCUUCACAUGCUUUAUCUAGGAUAGAUCUGAUGUCCUUUUCUGUCCUAUGAAAGUACCUGUACCCCCAUACACAUACUUGCCCAUAUUAAAAAAUUAAAAGGAAAUUUAAAAAUCACGCACAUGUGUGCAUGCCUGUGCACCACUUGUGGUAGAACAGGGUGUUGAACUCUCUGGCUCUGGUUUAGUUGGGAACCAAACCUGCCUCUACAAAAGCAGCAAGCGCUCCUAACUAAACCAUCUCACCAAAAAGGAGGCUUACAGACAAAAGGAGAGAGCAAAGAUACCGAAACAGUUUGUGGAAGAGGGCAGUGUUUAAGACGUUUCCUGGCUUAAUCAUUUCCACACUGUUUUUUGAUUUGUUUUCUUAGAGGUCCUGCUGUGCUGACCACGCUGGCUUCAAACUCUAGGACCUUCUGUCUCAGCUUUUCAAUGUUAGACGACACAUAUAACACUUAAAUCUUUUACUAUUUUGUUCUAAAAUAAUGUGGUCAGGAAAAUGUACAAAUUACAAUGUUAAAUUAUUCAAUCAGCCGUCUGUGUAUGUGUGUGUGUGGUGUGUGUUGAAUGCACACAUAAGGAGGUUACAGGAUAAUGUUGAUCUAUCACUCACUCGAGACAGGGACUCUUACUGAGACAGGGUCUCUUACUGAACUGGAAGAUCUUCCUAGCUCUACCUCAGUGUUGGGAUUACAGGUACAUGCAGCCAUACCAGGCUUUUAAAGUGGAUGCUAGGAUUUGAACUGAGGCCCUCAUGCCUCCACAGGAGUGUUAUUCACUAAGCUAUUUCCUUAGUCUAUUGAAUCAAAAAUUUUAUUAUAAAUAUAACUCCUAAAUCCAGCCAAAACUGAUUAGUUUUGUUCUACAAAUCUUUCCCCAGAAAGUGUUGUUAGUUUUCAGUAAAUUGACUCCGUAUCAAUUUUCCAGUUUAAAAGGGGGGUAGAGGUACCUCUUAAACAAGUAUUUUAUAUUUGUUAUUAAGAGUACUUUUAUUGGGGCUAGAGAGAUUGCUUGUGGUUAAGAACACUGACUGCUCUUCCAGAGUUCAAUUCCCAGAAACCAUCUGGUGGCUCACAACCAUCUAUAAUGGGAUCCAAUACUCUCUUCUUGUGUGUCUGAAGAGAGUGACAGUGUACUCACAUAUAUAAGAUAAAUAAGUAAAUCUUUGAAGAAAAGAGUACUUUUAUUAUUAGUAGGUUCUUUUCAUCUGUUAGUAAAACUAGAAUAUCUCAACCUAACAAUAUUUAAUAAGAGAAAAACCACAAACUGGAAAACCCAGCAAAAAUUGAUAUUUUAACAUGGGUACAAAUUUAAAUUGGGACUAUAAUCUAAAGCAUCUCCUAAAGUCUAAUCGAUAAAAAUGAACUUUUAGCUGGGCAUGUGAUGCAUAUCUUUAAUCACACUCUCCAGGCAGGCAGGUGGAUCUCUGGAAGUUUGAGGCAUAACAAAUCUAGAUCAGUCAAGGGUACACAAUGAGACCCUAUCUCAAAUAUAAAAUGGACUCCUGACUGAGUUUAUUUUCUUCCUCUACCACCACCACCACUACCACAAAGGAAAAGAAAUAAAGUAGGCUAGAGAGAGAGUUCAGCAGUUGAGAGCUGUACUUCCAAAAGACCUGAGAUCUGAUCCUAUACUCAAAUCUAGCUCCAGGGGAUCAGAAGCCUCUGGUUUCCACAGACACCUGUACUUAUAUGCAGACAGACAGAUGGACAGACAGACAGAUACACACACACACAAUUAAAAUAAUAAGGAAGGGUGAGACAUAAUAGAAUACUUCUCUAGUUGCAUCAAUGUGAAGACAGAAGCAGAAAAGUAGUAACCUAACCUUUUAUAUCUUCCUAGAAAGACUAGAAACUUAAUAAUCUAAUUUUAAGAUCUUGAAAAUCCGGGGUUGGGGAUUUAGUUCAGCGGAAGAGCGCUUGUCUAGCGAGCGCAAGGCCCUGGGUUCGGUCCCCAGCUCCGAAAAAAAGAAAAAAGAAAAAAAAAAAGAUCUUGAAAAUCCUAUAUUAUUCUAAAUUAAUACCAAUCCUAUAUUAUUUAAAGGAAAAAAAUAAGUGGUUAUAUAUGCCUAAGGUCAAUCUGGAAACUGAGGGGCAAGGUCUAGAUAUCUUUUUAAAUUCCUUCAGGGAAUUGUAGAAUACAUUAAAAUUUGGUAUCCUGGGCUAAUGAGAUGGCUUAGUGGUUAAAAGCAUGAGCUGCUCCUUGCAGAAGGCCUAGAGUUCAAGUCCCAACACUCUAGUUCCAAGGGACCCAAUAACUUCUGGCCUCCAGGAGCAAUGUGUGCAUGUGGUACUCAGACAUAUACAAGGCAAAAUACCCGUAUACAUAAAAUAAAAAUAAAUCUUAAAAAAAAAAAUCUGGUGUCUUUCACAUUAUUAUAAAAACCACACACACUUUCUGUUUAUUUAGCAAAAUACCUUAUGGUAUACCAGGGAUAAAAGAUUUAGAGUGAUUCAAUAACUGUAGGUCAAGGAACGUUUCUUGUCAUUAUUUAGUAAUAAUCUUCUAGCAAAUCAAAUUUCAACAAAAAUAAAACUAAAGAGGUAAUUAUUAAGCCAUAGAAACUAGCAGAGAACCAUUAGGAGGUUUCAUAACAAAUUUUACAAAUAUAGGUCACUAAUUUUUGAAAUAUGAUAAAAAUAUUUUUUACUAUAGCAACUAUAAAAUAUUGUAUAUUGUGAGUUAUAAUUGAUAAAAAUAAACUAUAAAAACACUCAAUGACAAAAACAGUAAGAAAGAAUGCCUGCAUAUUUUAUUAAAUAUACAAUAACACAUGAGUAGGGUUCAAAGACAGUCAAAGGAAUAAUUUUUGUGGUUCCCCCAACCCCCUAUUUCUCUGUAACUCGUGUGUGUUUGUGUGUGUUGCUGGGGAUGGAAGCAAGGGCUUUACACAUAAAGAAUUUAAAAAAAAAAUCUUUAAAUACCUUUAUGAAUCUAUAACUAUCAAGAGUUAAGAAUCACUGGUCCAUCAAUACCAGCUGUAGUACCCUCCCCGCCCACCACACGCCCCCUCAAUGUUUCAAUUCCUGGUUGGCUGGGUGUAGAUGUGUGCCCAAGGCUUACAAAGCUUUUAAACAGCACUCUCCCACCCCCACCUUCUGCAUUCAUUAGUCAUCCUUCUGUAUUCUAAGGAAUACUUCCAAAAGCCCCUCCUACCUCCACAUUCUAGAUACCAAUAUCUGCAGAGAAGUUCCUUUCUCAUACAAAAUGGUAACAUUUAGAUGAUUUACAAUACUCAUGUGUAGGUAUAUAAAUCAGCUUAACUAGUUAAACUGUUGAAGAAUGACCAAUUCUGUGCUUGUUCUAUAGAAAUGCUACUCAUCCAAACCAAAUGUUUCAAUCCCUAGCUGGCUGACAGAUACAGCACCGAAGAACAUAGAAGGCAAACAGUAUCUCCUUUCAGUUUCAUAAUAUACUAUGACAAAGUAAUGGAUUCAAAUUUAGAACAGGGAAACUAAACUUUGUGUAUGUAUUCAGAAGAGUGUGUCCUUUAAAACAAUUUCUUUGAAUAUGAUGGAAGAUGAUUAAGUUUGUACAAGAUCAGAAUAAAAGUAUAUACACAAAAAUCAUACUUUGAAGUUUUUCCCUCUUUAGUUCUAAAAGUUAAACACGAUGAAGAAGCUAUCAAUAACAAAGAAGUUCUUGUGAGACAAGAGUCUCUACUCACCAUCUAUAUUAAUUGCUCCUAACAAAUGUUAACUAAUUUUGAGUAAUAACCCUCUGAUCUUACUUCCUUGUCUGUGAAAAAGAUAAUGUUCUCAUAUGUAGUAGGUCUCAGACUCCAUGUAAGAAGAUCCUCCAUUUUAAAGUGGUCUAUGUCUUUCUAUAUUUCAGACACUUAAUACAUAAGUUAAAAGAUUAAGACAUUAUAGGACUUCUCGUAACAACGAUAAGAAGAGUGAGAGUUACCUUCCGACAUUUAAAAGGAUGUUAUCUGGAAGGCAGAUUUGGUGGUUUAUGCAAUUUCAGAGAACUGUUAGCAGAAAUGGAAAUUUUGUCCCAUUCAAAGAGGUCAAAGCAAUGUUAAAGGUACAUUUUAUGAGAAUUGUAAAACUUUCAUUUUGGUAUCAAUUAAGUAUAUUUUGGAUUAUAAAUGAUCUCUCUUUUUUAAUGUGCAUGGAUGUUUUGCCUGCAUGCAUAUAUACAUGCCUGGUGCCAGAAGAGAUGAGAAGAAGGUGUCAGAGUCCCUGAAAAAGGAGUUACAGAUGGCUGUGCGGCACCAUGUGGACACUGGGAAUCAAACUCAGGCCCUCUGGAAGAGCAUUAUUGGUCUUCACUGCAGAGCCAUCUCUCGAGCCUGAUCCCUGCAUAGUUUUAUAAUCCUGCUACAAGUCUGUAUUUGAGGUGAUCAGACUGGUAUCAAAUAACCACUAAAAAGGCUACUCUGUAGCUCAAGGUAGCUUUGAACUGGUGGCAACCCUUAGCUUCCCAAAUUCUGGGAUUGCAGAUAUGACCAACACCCAGAGUUGUGUUAGAUAGGACCAUGCCAUAGCCAGGGUAACCUGGGGUCCCUACCCUCACUCUUGAAAUAGUGAGGCUGAGCUUGAACUUGACAGUCUUCCGGCUCAGCUUCCUGAGUGCUCGGAUUACAGUCAUGUACCAUACACUCAGCUCAAGACUACAUGCUUGUCAAAUGCAGUAUACUUACACUGAAGCCUCUGGGCAUGUUCCAAAAAUUCACAAGGAUUCUUUUUCUUCCAGAGGACACCUAAACAUGAGUCAGAAUUGAUAAAAACGGGAAUAAACUACCUAACGACAGCUUCCAAAAAUGAGGCUUUCGUAUUAGGAGGCUUUUAAUAUCUUUAAGAAAAUAAAUUCUAAUUAAAGAUUUA